UACGGGGGGGGCAAGCGUUGUUCGGAAUUACUGGGCGUAAAGGGCGCGUAGGCGGCCUGCUAAGUCGGAUGUGAAAACUCUGGGCUCAACCCAGAGCCUGCAUUCGAUACUGACGGGCUAGAGUACUGGAGGGGAAAGCGGAAUUCCUGGUGUAGCGGUGAAAUGCGUAGAUAUCAGGAGGAACACCGGUGGCGAAGGCGACACACUGGCUCACUACUGACGCUGAGGCGCGAAAGCGUGGGGAGCAAACAGG
rnacentral:rRNA from 1 species